rnacentral:rRNA from 1 species
CAGCCGCCACGGUAGUACGCAGGUUGCGAGCGUUAAUCGGAAUUACUGGGCGUAAAGCGUGCGCAGGCGGUUCGUUAAGACAGAUGUGAAAUCCCCGGGCUUAACCUGGGAACUGCAUUUGUGACUGGCGAGCUAGAGUAUGGCAGAGGGGGGUAGAAUUCCACGUGUAGCAGUGAAAUGCGUAGAGAUGUGGAGGAAUACCGAUGGCGAAGGCAGCCCCCUGGGCCAAUACUGACGCUCAUGCACGAAAGCGUGGGGAGCAAACAGGAUUAGAUACCCCAGUAGUCCCUGUCUCUUAUAC